ACUCUUUUUCAUGCAAAGUCAGAUUCAGUACUUCUUUUUAAAAAAGAAAAGAGAGAGAGAGAGACCAAAGGACUCUGGCCCUCUGGGCGUCAUGUCUUUGGUGCUUAUGGUUCCCAAUUCACCCAGUCUAUCCUCUCACGUGGGACACGG